rnacentral:lncRNA from 1 species
CUCCGCCAUCAGCUCCCAACAGGCUGCGACUCCCCAAGCCUCCUCGGCAACUUCACCACUUCUGCCUGCACUGGCCAGGACUCCCGCCACCGCGAUGACGACUUCCCUUCACGCCUCCUGCCGUCAUCGCGCCCCCCGCCGACAGCGCAGCCUCAAUCCCACCCUGCAAACCCGUGUUCAGGAUGUCUAACCCUAUUUCAUUUAAGUGGACCCCAUCCUUUCUCAUCAAGUCCUGGUUUUCUCCUUCCAGCUCCACGUGUCGGAUGACCGCCCCACCUAGCCGCCGUACAAAUUUCCCCACUGCGAUGUUCAGCUUGCGCCGGCUCUUCUCCAAACCGCGAGAGUGCGGAAGCGCGCGCCAGCACGGCCUGGAAACCACCUCCGACCAAACCAAGGUCAUGUCUGGAAAGAACGCCAUGCACCUUGCCAAGUCGUGCCGAAUCGCGUGGAGAAGGUCCACAGUCCUGGAUACCCCUAAGUCGUUACCGCCCGCGUGGACCACCGCCACCACCGGCCCUGACACAAACUUACGCAGGGCCACGAACUCUGGAUAAAUCUGCUGCCACCGGAGGCCCCUAAUGCCCUUCCACCUUACUCUGGCCACGUCCAACGAAAACCCCAAAUUCCGUCCAUAGGCCCGGCUUUCAACUCGCCUAGCUGCCCAGUACACAUAGGAAUGCCCUAUAAUCCACACGUACUGGGGCCGACCACCUACAACGAGAAGAGAGUUACAGCAUAUGAGGUCGGACAUAAGACUUAAAACGCCCCGACCCCCAUCUUCCAAUCCGUUGAAUUCCCGCAGCCGAGUACCCCAAUACACUCGCCUGGGUAGCCGCCCCGAUCCGAAAGGAAUGGGCCGAAAACCCGUGACCAUCCAUGCCACUCUCCACCAAUGCUCUCUUCAACAUCGCCGAGAACUGAUACCGGGUUAGAGGAGACCCGUCCACGUGAGCUAACAAAGGGCCUCCCCGCUCCGGGCGCACCUCCAGAAAAUCGUGGAAGGCCCCAACCGGACAAACUUCGUCCCUCGUGGCCCCCAAACGAACCCAAGCCCCCCGGGCCGCCUGGUCCGUCUUAGAUCGCCGCACAAAAAUGUCGAUGGUGGAAGUAGACCACCGCACAUCCGACAAUGCCAACGGCGAGGCCUUCCCCUUGCUCGGGGCCACCAAUUCGCCGAUAUGAAAGGCACCAAAAAAGCAGACCGAGAAGGCCACGCAAAACAGCUUCGAUACGUACUCCGAACCACAGACCGUCGGUAGUACUAAAAUAAUCCGUCGCAACAUUUCAGCCGAAAUUGGGCGACGACCAUCCGGGCGACGCCGCAGCCGCCAACCCUUGACCACCCUCUGAAUCCCAUAUUCCUUAGUAACAUCCUGCCAGCCCAUAAAGCGAAACAGGAACGACAGGGCAGCCAACGCCUUCUUCGCUGCAGCGCAGGACCUACCUCUCCUGACCAAGUCAUCCAGCAACACGAGCGUCCUCUCCGCACGACCCGAUUCCGUGGACACAUCCCCGUCCCAUGCUGAUGACAGCCACUGCCUCCACACUGCCCGGUAUGCCUUCCAGGAAGACUCCGCCAAGGAAUCUGAUACCAAGCCCAUCAGACCUCGAAAUCGAGCUUCCAUAAGGAGUCUGGACACCGCAGACCGGUCCGCUGCGCCUCUGGCGCUGCCUCGCGAAACCACUCCCACUGCAAGCGAGACAAUGCAUCAGCCAUCACGUUCUGAACACCCGGGACAUGCUGCGCCCGCACCCAAACAUUAAACUUAAGACUAAGGAGCACGAGGUGACGGAGAAGAGCCAAAACUGGUGGAGACGAGGAGGACGAACGGGCAAUCACAUGAACCACACUCAUGUUGUCCGUGUGAAAGACCACCGUGUGAUUUCUCAGAUCCUCGCCCCACAGCUCCAGCGCGACCACUAUCGGAAACAGUUCCAAAAAGGUCAAAUUCCUCCUCAAUAAGGAAGACCGCCAAUCCUCCGGGCACUCCCCCGCGCACCACUGACCCCGAAAAUACGCUCCAAAACCAACGGACCCCGAGGCAUCGGUAAAGAGAUCCAACGCGGCAUUGGAGGUGGCCUCCCGCAACCAACAAGAAUGCCCGUUAUAACUACGUAGGAAGGAGCUCCACACCGUCAGAUCUGACCGGAGGCGCCUCGUGAUCCGAAUGUAAUGGAAGGGUUCCCUCACCCCCACCGUGGACAAGGACAACCUGCGACAAAAUGCCCGACCCAUCGGUAACACCCGACAUGCGAAAACCAAGUGCCCCAAAAGGCCCUGCAUCUGUCGCAACUGAACCUUCUUGGAACCUUUGACCAAGUCCACUAACCGAAGCAACCCCUCCAACUUCUCCUCAGGAAGCCGGAAGACCAUGCUCUCGGUAUCGAUUUCGAUACCCAAGAACGAAAGAACCAACACCGGGCCGACCGUUUUUUGUUCCGAAACAGGAACCCCGAACUCCGAAGGCCCGAAGCAACACCAUACAAUCCUGGGAACCCGACGGACCGACAAACAAAAAAUCGUCCAAGUAAUGGGUCAGAGACCCCAAACCCGAAACUCUAGACGUGACCCACUCCAAAAAGGAAGAAAACAGUUCGAAAUAAGAACAAGAUAUAGCGCAACCCAUAGGCAUGCACAUAUCAUAAUAGAAGCAACCGUUCGCGAAACACCCCAACAAGUGAAAACAAUCCGGAUGAACCAGCAACAAACGAAAGGCCGAUUCAAUAUCCGAUUUUGCCAAUAAAGCCCCACGACUGGCCCGCCGCAGGAGUAGCAAGGCCGAGUCAAAGGACGCAUAACGCACCCUGCACGCAUCCCUGUAAAUGUCAUCGUUGACCGACGCCCCCGAAGGGUACAAGAGAUGGUGAAUCAACCGAAAGGUUCCCGGGUCUUUUUUGGGUACCAGACCCAACGGAGACACCCUCAGGUUGUGGAAUGGGGGGGAAUCAAAGGGACCGGCCAUGCGGCCCCGUUGAAUCUCCGCCUCCAGCUUUUCCUGCAAUAAACCCUCCCUACCCUGCGUGGACCGAAGAUUCCCAGCAAACCGGCCCUCGUCCGACAGCACAAAGGGAAUCCAGAAACCUAUUGUAAAAC